GACGAACGCUGGCGGCGUGCUUAACACAUGCAAGUCGAACGGAAAGGCCCUGCCUUUGUGGGGUACUCGAGUGGCGAACGGGUGAGUAACACGUGAGUAACCUGCCCUUGACUUUGGGAUAACUUCAGGAAACUGGGGCUAAUACCGGAUAGGAGCUCCUGCUGCAUGGUGGGGGUUGGAAAGUUUCGGCGGUUGGGGAUGGACUCGCGGCUUAUCAGCUUGUUGGUGGGGUAGUGGCUUACCAGGGGUUUGACGGGUAGCCGGCCUGGGAGGGUGACCGGCCACAUGGGAAUGGGGAUACGGCCAGACUCCCUCGGGGAGGAGGAGGGGGGAAAUUUUGCCCAUGGGGCGGAAGCCUGAUGAGGCACCGCGGGGGGGGGAUGAACGGCCUUCGGUUGGUAAACCGCUUCCGCAUGGACCAAGGCGUGUGUGACGGUAAUGGGUAAAGAAGCACCGGCUAACUACGUG
rnacentral:rRNA from 1 species